rnacentral:rRNA from 1 species
GACGAACCGUGCGAACGUUGUUCGGAUUCACUGGGCUUAAAGGGCGCGUAGGCGGGCGACCAAGUCAGGGGUGAAAUCUUUCGGCCCAACCGGAAAAGUGCCCCUGAUACUGGCCGCCUCGAGGGGGGUAGGGGCAUGCGGAACUUCCGGUGUAGCGGUGAAAUGCGUAGAUAUCGGGAGGAACACCUGUGGCGAAAGCGGCUCACUGGACCACAACUGACGCUGAUGCGCGAAAGCUAGGGGAGCAAACAGG